AUGGGCUCGCGGCCUAUCAGCUUGUUGGUGAGGUAAUGGCUCACCAAGGCGUCGACGGGUAGCCGGCCUGAGAGGGUGACCGGCCACACUGGGACUGAGACACGGCCCAGACUCCUACGGGAGGCAGCAGUGGGGAAUAUUGCACAAUGGGCGCAAGCCUGAUGCAGCAACGCCGCGUGAGGGAUGACGGCCUUCGGGUUGUAAACCUCUUUUAGCAGGGAAGAAGCGAAAGUGACGGUACCUGCAGAAAAAGCGCCGGCUAACUACGUGCCAGCAGCCGCGGUAAUACGUAGGGCGCAAGCGUUAUCCGGAAUUAUUGGGCGUAAAGAGCUCGUAGGCGGUUUGUCGCGUCUGCUGUGAAAUCCGGAGGCUCAACCUCCGGCCUGCAGUGGGUACGGGCAGACUAGAGUGCGGUAGGGGAGAUUGGAAUUCCUGGUGUAGCGGUGGAAUGCGCAGAUAUCAGGAGGAACACCGAUGGCGAAGGCAGAUCUCUGGGCCGUAACUGACGCUGAGGAGCGAAAGGGUGGGGAGCAAACAGGCUUAGAUACCCUGGUAGUCCACCCCGUAAACGUUGGGAACUAGUUGUGGGGUCCAUUCCACGGAUUCCGUGACGCAGCUAACGCAUUAAGUUCCCCGCCUGGGGAGUACGGCCGCAAGGCUAAAACUCAAAGGAAUUGACGGGGACCCGCACAAGCGGCGGAGCAUGCGGAUUAAUUCGAUGCAACGCGAAGAACCUUACCAAGGCUUGACAUAUACGAGAACGGGCCAGAAAUGGUCAACUCUUUGGACACUCGUAAACAGGUGGUGCAUGGUUGUCGUCAGCUCGUGUCGUGAGAUGUUGGGUUAAGUCCCGCAACGAGCGCAACCCUCGUUCUAUGUUGCCAGCACGUAAUGGUGGGAACUCAUGGGAUACUGCCGGGGUCAACUCGGAGGAAGGUGGGGAUGACGUCAAAUCAUCAUGCCCCUUAUGUCUUGGGCUUCACGCAUGCUACAAUGGCCGGUACAAAGGGCUGCAAUACCGCGAGGUGGAGCGAAUCCCAAAAAGCCGGUCCCAGUUCGGAUUGAGGUCUGCAACUCGACCUCAUGAAGUCGGAGUCGCUAGUAAUCGCAGAUCAGCAACGCUGCGGUGAAUACGUUCCCGGGUCUUGUACACACCGCCCGUCAAGUCAUGAAAGUCGGUAACACCUGAAGCCGGUGGCCUAACC
rnacentral:rRNA from 1 species